GAUCCACCCACCUCAGCCUCCCAAAGUGCUGGGAUUACAGGCGUGAGCCACUGUGCCGGCCAUGAAUGGACUGAUUUUGAAUGUAGCCAAUGCACAGGAAUUGGAACACUAGCAUUUCCUUUCGUGAUAAGCAAGUGUAGACACAGCUCGGAGAGGUCCUGUGUGGCGUCUCGGGAAAGUGGUCCAGGGACAGGGGACACCUAGGGAAGAGCGAAGGUCAUCAGGGCUCAGGAAACGAGGGCUGCACCCCACGGAGGGGCAGGAGUGGAGCAGAAGCUCUAGCCGUCAAACAGGAGGUGACGGUGGCCUGGAGCUGAGUGGAAAAGGGAACACGCACAAAGGCCACAUGGAGGUUGCUUGCUCAAGAACUGGAUGUGGUGCAUGAAGAGAAGGGAGAAACAAAGACGAAUUCUUGGGCUUUGGUCUGAAAUUGGGUGAAUUUACUAGGAUUGAGGCAGAGGGCAAGUGAAGAAUUCUGUUUCAAUUUAAGCUUUGAGAUGCCGCAGGUAUGGAAAUGGUAAGGGGCAGAAAUUUGGGUUUGGAGUUUGUGGGAGGAUUCUGGGUUGAUUUUGAAUUUGGGAGCAGAUAGGUGUUAUGUAAAGUCCAUAGUGUAGGCUGGGCAUGGUGGCUCAUGCCUGUGAUCCCAGCACUUUG